AACUGUAGGAAACUAGAGCUAAUACAUGCUUAAAUCGUAAGAUUGCAUUUAUUAGAUAAACCAUGCAGGUGAAUCAUGAUAACUUAGCAAAUCGAAGCAACGCUUCGAUGCAUCAUUCAAGUUUCUGACCUAUCAUGCUCUCGAUGGUAGUGUAUUGGACUACCAUGGCAGUCACGGGUAACGGAGAAUUAGGGUUCGAUUCCGGAGAAGGAGCCUGAGAAACGGCUACUACAUCUAAGGAAGGCAGCAGGCGCGUAAAUUACCCAAUCCUAAAUCAGGGAGGUAGUGACAAGAUAUAACAACGCGAUUAAAUAUCGCGAUUGUAGUGGUGUAUUCUAAAAAUAGCAUUUAGUACGAUUGGAGGGCAAGUCUGGUGCCAGCAGCCGCGGUAAUUCCAGCUCCAAUAGCAUAUAUUAAAGUUGUUGCAGUUAAAAAGCUCGUAGUUGGAUUUCAAGUGCAGCAUCUAGGUUUCUAGUAUGCUCUCUACCAGUCUUUGACUGUUACUGUGAGAAAAUUAGAGUGUUUCAAGCAGGCAAUUGCAGGAAUACAUUAGCAUGGAAUAACGAAUGUACUUACAAUAUGGUUAAUUGUAGGUUACGGUUAAUAGGGACAGUUGGGGGCAUUAGUAUUUAAUUAUCAGAGGUGAAAUUCUUGGAUUUGUUAAAGACUAACGUAUGCGAAAGCAUUUGCCAAGGAUGAUUUCAUUAAUCAAGAACGAAAGAUAGGGGAUCAAAGACGAUCAGAUACCGUCGUAGUCCUAUCUAUAAACUAUGCCGACUAGGGAUUGGUGGAGUGUAUACUCCAUCAGUACCUUAUGAGAAAUCAAAGUCUUUGGGUUCUGGGGGGAGUAUGGUCGCAAGACUGAAACUUAAAGAAAUUGACGGAAGGGCACCACCAGGAGUGGAGCCUGCGGCUUAAUUUGACCCAACACGGGGAAACUUACCAGGUCCAGACAUGAUAAGGAUUGACAGAUUGAUAGCUCUUUCUUGAUUUUAUGGGUGGUGGUGCAUGGCCGUUCUUAGUUGGUGGAGUGAUUUGUCUGGUUAAUUCCGAUAACGAACGAGACCUUAACCUGCUAACUAGUCUUGUCUAUCUUAUAGAUACAGACUUCUUAGAGGGACUAUGUCACGAUGAGUGCAUGGAAGUUUGAGGCAAUAACAGGUCUGUGAUGCCCUUAUAUGUCCUGGGCUGCACGCGUGCUACACUGAUGCAUACAGCAAGUUCCAUGCCCGAAAGGGUUUGGCAAUCUCUAAUAUGCAUCGUGAUGGGGAUAGAUCUUUGCAAUUAUAGAUCUUGAACGAGGAAUUCCUAGUAAAUGUAAGUCAUCAUCUUACAUUGAUUAUGUCCCUGCCCUUUGUACACACCGCCCGUCGCUCCUACCGAUACCGGGUGAUGAGUUGAAUCUAAUGGACUGGUUUCAGAAAAUUAUGUAAAACUUAUCACCUAGAGGAAGGAGAAGUCGUAACAAGGUU
rnacentral:rRNA from 1 species